UAAUAUAAAUAAACAUUGUUGAAUUGAAAAAAAUAAAUCACAACCAAGUGAUGGUUAUGUAAUUUUCGUGCACUUGCAAAGCGGGAGCUUCUGGGAAGUGCAAACAUAUUUGCGCGGUUCUUCUUAAGUGUGGCAGGUUGUAUUAAAAUCUUGUUUUGCAAUUAAAUUUACUUUGUUUCUCUUUUAUUAUAAGGGAUAUUAUUGCAAACCUUGAAGAACGGAAAAAGGAUUUUUACGGUAAAUACGAAGCCAAACCUUUAAAAGAAUUAUGCUGCGCGAAGGAAAUUAGAAAAACUUGUAGGUCGUUAUCAGAGGCUGAAAGUUUAGAGUGUUUCAACACUUUAUUAAUGAAUCAGCCUAAUUCUGCUUUGAGUUGCCAUUGGUAAGUACUUUAAUAAAUCGUGUAAAAUACGAAAAUAUUGAAAAAAUAAAAAGAAAGCUUAGAUGAAGUAAGAGCUUUACGAUGGUAACAAAAGCUGUUUUUUUAGGCAAGGUCGUAAAAGUCUGUCUGAAACAGAAGUGCAGAGUCUCGAUUCUCAGGUCCCAGAUUGGUUAAAAGUGUUGUUCGUACACAUAAAUGCGUCUCAGUUUUUGAGCUCUCUAAAUAUAAGUAUGGAGCACUAUGGGCUAAAGGCGUGUUGCAAGGAAUUUUACAAGAUGUAUUUCCUAAAUUCCAUUCCAGAAAUGGUAGCCCUUACUUGCACAAGGGUGAAAAAUUGAACGAAAGCAUAGAUUAACAGAAUAUAUCUCGUUUCACAUCUAUCUACAAAUAUCACAACUGAAUUUUUGGAGUCAAAUGGGUAUGUUUAGGGACGAAUUGAGGGGCUUUUUACAUUUAUCCACACCAGAUAAUCUAUAAAGGGAAAAAUGGGGCUAAAUAUCUUAGGAAAAUAGGGACAGUAUUUCUGCCCCGUCAAGAAAACGCAGUCUCACAAGGGUAUCACGACAUUGUUUUGAUAAGUGUUUAAUGUAUAAUUUUCUGUUUAGGUUCUAGGUGUUAUUCAGUCUUCACCUACAGUCGAGACGAUUGGAAGAAAAAGGCGUUGAAUUACUUUAACGAAAGCAAGUUCAAUAAUAAAUAUGUGCAGCAUGGGAUUAAGUUUGAAAAAGAGGCUUUGCAAACCUAUAGGAAUCGGUUGAAUUAUGACAUUAAAGAACCUGGGUUUGUGAUCUCAAAAAGGUUUCCAUGGCUAGGAUAUUCCCCCGAUGAUAUUGUUUAUGAAAACGACCGCCCCAAAAGGCUUGUUAAAAUAAAAUGUUCCUUUGCUGGAAAAUCUGCAGAUACCAGUGGAACUUGUAAAUAUAUGUCCAUUUUUGGAUGUGCCAGCAGAAAGAGGGGUCACAUUAAAACAGCGCCAUCAAUACUAUGGGCAAGUUCAGUUAGGAUUAGUAGUCCUUAACUUAAGUGGUUGUGAUUUAAUCUUAUAUUUUCCUAAAUCUAAAUCUUUCAUUAAAAUAAUUGUUCCU